UACGGAGGGGGCUAGCGUUGUUCGGAAUUACUGGGCGUAAAGCGCACGUAGGCGGUUUUUUAAGUCAGAGGUGAAAGCCUGGAGCUCAACUCCAGAACUGCCUUUGAAACUAGGUCGCUAGAAUCAUGGAGAGGUGAGUGGAAUUCCGAGUGUAGAGGUGAAAUUCGUAGAUAUUCGGAAGAACACCAGUGGCGAAGGCGACUGACUGGACAAGUAUUGACGCUGAGGUGCGAAAGCGUGGGGAGCAAACAGG
rnacentral:rRNA from 1 species